AUCCAUCAUGCUCUUAGGGAAUACCGGUCCAAUUCUAGGAACCUUCAGGCAUACUUUGACACAGUGAUAUCACUUUGGACUAGGUGUGCAAACUCCAUUUUCUUCAGAUGUUGGAGGUGCUUUGGGAGGUACUCUACAUUGAAGGUCAUCAGGAAUUGUUCCCAAGUGACUGAAAUGGGCAGGGUGGCCUGUUUGAGCUGCCACCAGCGACCUGCCUCUCCCACAAGCAUAUAGGUGGUAAGUACAACUUUCUAUUCGAGAACCACCCCAAGAGUCGCUAAAGUCUUCUCUGUCUCAACUAACCAAUACUCAGCCUCUUCAAAGAGGAUGCUCCUAUAAAAGUAGAUGAGUUUAAUCUUUUGUACCUUUCAAUAUAGCCUAAGUCCAUCAUGGGUGGAACUGAGUCCCGUGGAAGAGGGACUAGAUUGUGUUGGGGAGGGACUGGAUUGCCUUGUGAUGGUAUUGGACGAUACAGUGGAGGCACCGAAUUAUACUGUGGUGGUACUGGCUGAUGCGAUGGUGGCUUUGGACCCUCCUACUACAAGGGUGGCUCAAACUAUGGCAGCAGGGGAGG
rnacentral:lncRNA from 1 species